CAGAAACUUUGCAAGAUACCAGCUUAUUCCACAUCCACUCAACCAACACAAAAUCAAGACGAAAACGAUAACACGGAAACGUUAUUGCUAUCUGGCGGAGGAACUUCGGGGCAACUGAUUUUAUCUCAUAAUAAUGCCUCAUCAGAAAAAGAAACAGAUACAACGUUGCCUAACUUAUCUGAAAACAACGUUGCCAGAAUGAGGUGGUUGGAAGGGGAUGAUUCGGACGAAGAUAUCGACUACAAUUAUCAAGACAAUCUCAGUAGUAAACACCACCAAAUCCACACUGAAAAUAUCACUCCAAGAUUUGCAAACACUAGAAAAAUGUUGCCAAAAAUAUACGAUUCCGCAAAAGUCAGAAGAAAUAUAUUCAACGAUCCUAGAUCAUUGUGUAACAAAAUAAAGAUGUCAUGCAAUAUUAG